UUAAAAUGGAGCAGUGCUGCUAAGAUCAAGUGUAGUAUCUGUUUUUAUCAGUUUAAUAUCUGAUACGUCCUCUACCCGAGGACCAUAUAUUAAAUGGAUUUUUAGGCCUGGGAGUGGGAAGAGGGGCUUGCUCCGUCCGCUCCACGCAUCGCCCGGGUAUUGCAUAUCAAGCACCCAAAAUCUCAAGCCACGUUU